rnacentral:lncRNA from 1 species
CACAAAUAACUUAAGACUAAACACUAAAAAAUAUCUGUCGUCACUCGCUUCGUCGUCACUCGCAAAAGGGUCGCCACCUGAAAUACGACAAAAAAACAAGAAGAUUCGAUUUACAGGUAAUCAUUCAAACUUUCCUAUUCAAAAGCAUUCAUGCAAUAUUCAUACAUACAUUUUGUGGCACUUAUACUCUCUUUAAAACCAUCCUCGAAUAUUCAUUAUGACUAAUCAAGUGAACGUUUCAUGUUGGUAAAUAUGCUAGCAAAACCUAAAAUAAGAUUCAAAACUCAACUGAAGUUGCUGAAUUUUUUUUUUUACAAUAACAAAAAAAAUCAUUUUUUUAAAACAAGACCUAAUUUGAACAUUUAGAUUAUUCCCACACAACCAAUGAAAUAGAAAUCAGGUAAAGAAAUAUACUAAACUUUUUACCAAGCUGUUUCCUCUCUAUCCACUGCUACCAUCGAUUUCAGCAUCUAACAAAAAAAAUAAACACAAGAAACUCAAUAAAACUCACAAAAUCAGAAAAAAUAAACUUCAAACUUAGAUCUACGGAACAGGACAUGCAUGUCACCGGAGGGCUCGCCGGAGCCUCCCUCGAUGACAUGCAAGUCUAAUGAAAUCGGAAAAACAAAAAGAAGAGCUCAGAAAUCUUUACCUUUUCUUUCUUUCCAUGGUGGUGACCGGGAGAGAAGAUGUGAGACAUAGACAGCGGCCGUUGUCGCUGGAAAUUAAAAGGGUGGAGGGGAAGAGGCGGCUGAAAAAGAAAAAAGGUGAAAAAAAAUAUAUACUCGCGGCGGUGGCGGCGGCGGUAGUGAAGGGGAAGGAG